GGUAGCUUCUUGAUUUGAGGCAAGUAACUAAACCUGAGCUCUCUUCUUUCCAUUGGAAAUGUACGACUCCCUGUUUAGCAGGUUAAACAGCCUAACUGAACGUGCCUGGCACGGAGUAGGUACUUCAUAUUAGCACCUGGCACCCCACUCUGCUGUAUUUAUGUGUAUUUUUCGUUCCUGUAGUCAGACCACUGGAGUCCUGUUUUCCUAGCUCCGAAAUAGUGGAACCAAGAUCAGAACCCACUGUUUUGUUCUUUGGUCCCAGUGCCCUGGAGUCCCCCCAGCCUUCGUGAAGGGGCACCUAUACCAGCCACUCGCCCUGGGCAAGCUUGAGUCAUUGUUUUAGUCAGAGCUCUUCAGAGUCAUGGGGACCCUCCCGUUUCAAGGCAGAGGUUCCACUGGAGCGUAGCGAUGCAGUCGUGGCAAAAUGGGAACUGUCACCCAGACCGCAUGGCAGGCUUGUGGAAAGGACAAGGUGGAGGAUGGGCGCAUGAGGGUCCCGGGGCCGUGGCCUGGUGCAGCGUGUGGACCCCGGCCCAGCCUGUACGACGUCGGCAGCAUGAGCCUCCCAAGCAGCGGGCCGGCGGGCAGCAUCUUUGACCUGGACUGCACCUCCGGGCAGGUCCGCUGGGCGCUGGUGGCCGCCGGCUGCACCUUCUACCUGGGCGUCUUCGUGGCCUGCCACCAGCUGUCAUCCUCCCUGAACGCCACCUACCGCUCCCUGGGGGCCCGAGAGCAGGUCUUCUGGAACCUGGCAGCCACGCGUGCAGUCUUUGGCAUCCAGGGCACCACGGCGGGGCUACGGGCGCUGCUGCUGGACCCCGUGCUCCAGGCCGACAAAGUGCUCGGCCAGCAGAACUGGUGCUGGUUCCACAUCACCACGGCAACUGGAUUCUUCCUCUUCGAGAACCUCGCACUCCACGUGUCCAAUGUGCUGUUCCACACAUUCGACGGGUUCCUGGCCGUCCACCACCUCUUCGCCUUCCUCGGGUUUCUCGGCUGCGUGGUCAACCUCCAAGCGGGCCACUACCUGCCCAUGAUCACGCUGCUCCUGGAGAUGAGCACGCCCUUCACCUGCAUCUCCUGGAUGCUCCUAAAGAACCACAGUUGGAAGGGGGCACGUUUCAGCCACAGUUUCUUUGGUUUGUAUCGAGAUCACCCUCAGCUCUUUUCCAAGAAAUAUGGAACCUCUUUGGUCCACUCCAGAGAUUUUAUUUCCGCACAAGACAGACCAAGAGCCCAGAAUGUUGGAGCCUUCACGGAUUUUGCACAGAAAGCCAAGCUUCAGAAAGUUCAAGGCCAGCCACGCCAGGACUCUCAUUUUCCAUCUUCCGGUUCCCCCGCCCUUGUCACGGGGACAGGCCUAAGGCCCGGGAAGCAGGCGUCCCCGGGGGCAUCUCUGCGCUGCUGCACGGCCCGGCCCGCCCCCUCUGGAUCGCCUGUCAGCUUCCCCGCAUCCGUCACCCCUCGAUACUGCGUGCGUGAGCCUGUGACGGAGGACGUCCUCCUAAGUAGCCUCAGCUGGCGUCACCCAGAGAGACGGCACGGAGUCUGCACUUUGGUCUGAUGUGCAGCCAGGUGGUUAGCUGGGUGGCCGCCCUGUCCAUCCUCCUGUCCUCGCUCUCCUGGCCUGGACGCAGCCCGGGAUCCCUGCGGCUUUUGGGUGUCAUGUCCCUCAGCCUCUCUUUCUCUUCGACAGCCUGGGUAUUUCAGAGGAAUAGCAGCCAGCUGUGCAGUAGAAGCCCCGAGGGUGGGCGGGUCGGGAGCUCUGUCAGGAUUGGACUCAGGGACGCAUUUUUGGCUGGAGAACCAGGAUGCCCUUGCGCUGUGUUGUCCCUGUGCUGGAUUCACCCGUUUCUCCGAGGACCUGGUUCUUUCGUGAGGAAUGGUGUCUGGGAAUGGGGACAUGGCUGUCCAGCUGCCCCAACACCAUGUGAUAAGAAGUCUGUCUUCUAUACUGGUUUGAGAUGCCACUCCUCUCGAGCUGGAUUUUCUUGGGCACGUGUCUCCGUCUCUGGUCUUGGUGUCCUCUCCCGUUGGUCAUUGUUGGUUAGUCCAGCGGUUUUUCCAUCAUAGAGACUCUUAACUUGGAGGCGUCUGACAUCUUGGUGGUGCAGAGGCACCAGUCCCAGGACAAGGAAAGCCUUUCCACUUGUUCACGUCUGCUCUUCCCGUCACCAGCACUGCGCAGCCAACCGCCCACAACUCGGUCCAGCCUGGGACCCGUGUCGCUCCGAUCCAGGCCUUCAGCGCUGCCCACCCGGACGGGCUCCGGCUCCGCAGGGUCACAGCCGUGCUGCAGGGGACACCCGUGUGCCCCACCUGCUGUGGGCCGGAGCUUCGGGGUCAUCGCAGGAGUGGAAGCGCUGGGUCCAGGCCUCCACGCAUCUCCUUCUCCCGGCUGACACCAGGGGGCUCAGCUGCCCGGGCGCCUUUGUCUCAGGCACAGCCCCCAGUGCGUGCCGCUGACUGGACAUCGCUGGGCCACGGCGCCUUCUUCCCUGAUGAAGGAAGCAAGGCUGUGGUCCUGGUCUGAGACAUCUGGAGUGUCUCGGUCUCCCGGCACUGCCUACAGUCGCCCCCUAUUAGACCACGGCUCAUCUGCACGCCGGUUGGAACAGCAGGACACUCAAGUUUGUUUCUGAAGCUCAUCACAGCAGUCUCUCAUAUACAUACUGGAAAAGGCAUCAUUGAAAGGACUGUCUCCAACCUAGAUGGAAGGACUCUUACGAGAGGCUACGCCACUGUGAAGCACUCGUGUCAACUGCACCAGGCUACCGCUGACUGAAGAAAAAACGCACAACCUUCAGUUUUUUGGGGGCCUUACUGAAGACUAUAUAGCCUGUCAGACAGGCCUGAGAGUCUACGGAGGAGCCAGGGAUCGUACCCAUGACAGAAAAGCAUUUGAUUCAAAAAAAAAGCAUAAAGUCCAGGAAAUCAAGAAAAUGUUAUAAACAAUCAUACGGUCAGGUCCAGCAUCUUGGGAUAGCUGUCUCCUGAUGUCGUCGUCUUCCCGUCCUGGCGUUGGUGUUUCUUUCCUAUCAGAGCAUCGCUUUAAGGUUCAUAUAAUCCCUCAUCCAGUCUCACUGGUCUCCCCCUGAUAAUCUCAAAAGGAAACAAAUGUUUUCCAGAACAGGUGGAUCUGAGGUUGAGGAGAACCAAUGGAAGGGCCUCAGGCCACUGUCAGCCUUUGAAUGAUACCUUAAUGGCAAGUGCACCUGGCAGCAGAAUGGCAUCCAUUUUUAACAGACUGUCCUCGGGAUGUUAGAAAUCCUGUUGCCAAAGCAUACCCAAGUCGUGGUCCCCCCCAGAAGCAUGGCGGCCGUCUGUCUAGUCUUGAAGUACAGGCUGUCUUCCUAUUUAUCAAAGAAUUCGAACACAAUAGCAAAUCACCUGCACAUUGUAUCAAAACUGAUUUAUGAGGAAAAGCUAGAUCAUCUAGGUACGUUUUUAAUACCUGGGGAAGGUGAGUAUAGCCCUGCCACGUUACAGUCCGUGUAUGCUGCCGUUCAUCCCAAGUAAAGGCAAAGGGUACUGGCCACCAGGAUGCACAGGGAUGCUAAACAGUGCACUGUGGAGGCCACAGAAAAGAAGUCACUGUUCUUAGGAACACAGCACAGAAAGGCAUGGGGGUUGGCAAGGAGUAAUGAUGGCACUGCUAGAGCUCAAACCCUACACGAACCUCCAGCCCUCGCCGCCAUUAGGUUUGCUAACUGGCAGAAUGAGUGUGUCACAAGGCCCGGUGCAAGGCGUGAAGUCUUUCUCAAUGUAAGCUGGUGUCAGGUGUUAUUCCCUCCGUGGCUUCCUGCCUCAAUGUGGGGACGCGGUUCUUCUCGUCUUGGGUCGUUUUAACAGGCGGUGUGGAAUGUUAUUUCCAUAUGUCAGUAACUCUUCAGGUACUAAGCCUAGCAAGUCUUCGUCAGCAUCACCUUGACCAUGGCUCACAAACAUUGUAUGAUGAAGGAAAUCAGCUCUAAAAACAUCUCCUCCUUAGGAGUAAGGAAAUAUGGGCUUCAUAAGUUUCUAAUCAAUCUCUUACUGUCAGGUGAAUAGGGGUGCUUUCUACUAGAAAAGAUGAGUGCCUUCCUUUAAGUUCUCCUAAGUAAAAUGCUAAAGAUAAUGGUUUAAGAGCCUUAAGAGGUGCAGUAGAAAUCCCUACCAUCUACACUGAAGUAUUACUUCAUGGGAGGGAGCCUCUGGUUUUGGUUUAAAACUGAAAAGGUGGUCCCUGUAUCUAUUAGGGCUUUGUUUCUCUCUGUCUUGUCUCUCUACUUCUCCCAGGGCGUUACAGAAGAAAGACUGCCACUGUUCCCUCAGAGGAGCCCUAUUCUUGUUUAACUCGGUAUUCUGAUCUGAAAUCUAGUCUGUUCUUGAAAUCUUUUAUUUUUCUACAGUUCCUUCUUUUUUUUUAAACACAGUAAAAGAAAAAUGCUAGGUUCCUCUGUCACUCGAGGAUUGAACGGGGGUUUGUUAACUGUAGCCUGACCUUGCUUACUUAAUUGGCACAGUUGAAGGCUCACGAUUUUUUUUCAUAAAUUUAUCUUUAGCUGCGUUGGGUCUUCAUUGCAGCGCGUCAGUGCGUGGGCUUUCUCUAGUUGCAGUGUGCAGGCUUCUUGUUGCAGAGCAUGGGCUUCAGUAGUUGUGGCUUGCAGGCUCUAGAGCGCAGGCUCAGUAGUUGCUCCGCAGCACGUGGGAUCUUCCUGGACCAGGGCUUGAACCUGUAUCCCUUGCGUUGGCAGGUGGAUUCUUAACUGCGGUGUCAUCAGGGAAGUCCCGAAGGUUCACGAUUUUUAUAGAUGUAUCCUCUCUGAUGGUUUUGAAAAGCUAUCAGCCAGCGUGGUAAGGGCAUUUGUAUGUAACACUGACCAACCUAAGUUGUGUUUUUAAUUACAGUAGCCAAUUCCUCAUUUAUACCUUCUGAAAUGGACGUAAGCAAAGGCUCAUUGUGGUGGUUAGAGAACAUUCAGAUGUUAUGCCAGAAUGUUGUUUAAAAGUUCUCACACCAUGAUCUAGGAUUUUAUCCUGUUUUUGUUUGCACUGCUGAAUUUUUGUCUAGGCUAUGGCUUUUGGGAAAAACUCUGGGAUAAAUGAGUAAUUUAUGAGCUAAUUCCUUGCAUUCAACUCGAAAAUCGAAGUUUGUUUGUUAAGGGCUGUUUCCAUUCUGCUUUCUCUAUCCGUUGCCUUGCUUUACUUUCAGAAAGGAAUAGCUAUAUUACGGGAUACAUAUCUGCAAACCCAGACUCACGGGUUUGGAUGGCUAACUCAUAUUCCCUGCAUAUCCCAAUGGGCCUUGACUAGGGUCAGGAAACCCCUUAGCUAAAGCCCUAAGUCUUGCUCGAGUCCAGGGUGUGUAUGUAAGCACAGAGGACAGUUCCCCUCUUCCUGUGAAAGGUUUUCCUUAAAGGGGGAUAGAAGUACUUCUGAUUUAAUGUCCUCCUUUGCUGGGGGGAGAGGAAGCAGCAAGGGGCAGAGGUGAUGGGAGAGAGAAGGGAACAGCAUCUGGGUCAGGGGGUUCAGAUAAAAGAGGAAAUGAGGGGGAGCAGAGGAGAGGCAGGGUUAAUACUGGCAGCUUUCAGAAAUGUUGAUAAAGUAAGUUUUGGUUGAUUUCCUGCAGAAGCUUAUCAUUUCGUCUUUAGAAGCUUCUAAUAUCCAUAAGCAUUCCCUUCCAUCUGUCUGAUCUUGUGGACUGCUUUCGCUAGCUGCAUACACAGGAAAAUUCUGGAAUGUCAGAAGAACCCAAAUGUGGCCGUUUGAGGUUGUGAUCUCCUUUAGUGUGGUUUCUCCAAUCAAGUAAGUAUUUGCAGGUAUAAAUUCCAUACAUAUUGUACCUGAACCUGGCCUGGGUGUUAGUUGGAGGCUAGCAAUCUGUCCUUUUUGUUUUAAAAGCUUUGUUUCCCAUUCCAAGGUCGAUCUGUUGAGAUAAGAAUCAUUACUGAUGAUCCCAUGGUGGGCCAGCGUGCUGGCUGUGAGCCUGAUUCCUCGGGAUUUUAGCCCAGAGCCAUUGCAGCGCUCUUACAGGUCCUACUUUCUGUAGCCUAAGACCACAGUGGGUGCUUGCAGCACCGAGUGGCCGGCUCUUAUAUGUGUCCCCAGCUGAGAUGAGUGGGUUUCCCUCUACAGAUGGCAGCCCAGUAUGAGGACUUACCUCCACCACUCCCACAAGUUUCCCAGUUGCCUGAGAAAGCCAGUGCUGUCAGGAAGGAGAUGGCUCAUAAGGGCUUUCAGCUCCAAAGAAGGGACAUCUUCAUUUUUAUUCCAAUAAUCUGUUAAAGUAGCCAAAUAAAGGAAAAAUGACAUGUCAGUCUCCCACCUAAUUUCCCAGUCCAACCAAUCAACUGAGUAAAAUCUCCCCAACAUCUCUCAACUGGGAUAACCCAGGUUCUUCUUCUUGAAAUUAAAUUUAAGGAAAACCUCCUCCUCCAGUGAGGGAUUUAUCCACCACCGAAUACAAUAGGAUCAGCCAGUAACAGGAGAUCUGAGACCGGGGGGGCUCACCAAGGAGACGGCUGGGCACCUGCUGGCCAGUCCGCCAGUCCCUGCAGGGCUCAGGCAGAGGAGAAGCCUGCUCCAAGUUCCCUUCCGGUCACCAAAGCCGCUGACUGAAGGAAAACAUACAACCCAAAAGCUGCAAGUUAAAGUUUUAAGCCCAGGAGACAGCCUCUCAGGAGGUAAGGGAGGUGCCAAGAUGCAGAGUUUUUGCUGGAAGACAAGAAUUUAGUCAAAGGUUACUGCUUGUCACACACACCAAAGCCCCAGGCAGUUCAUUACUGCUUAUCACACACACCAAAGCCCCAGGCAGUUCAGGUUAGUAAUUUUAGUGCUUCUGUAUGUAUGGGAAGAUGAAGAAUCUGGCCUCACUGAAAUUAUUCUUUAGAUGUGCACUUAAACGAUCUAGGGCUGGUACCCGGAGCACAGAAUGUUUCCUGAAUCCCCGCGGGGCAUGCCGUCAGGGCAGCUGCAGCAGCUGAUGGCUUCAUCAUGCCCAGUAUUCUUUGUUUACUGGAAUGGCAGGUAACACUCCCUGUCCACACUACAUACAUCAUAUUGCUGUUGCUUCGUUAUCAAUGCCUGAACCAUUAUUCCUAUAAAUAAAAAUGAAUUUUCACAUUGUU